AUGAUUAUCCCCGUUCGUUGUUUCACCUGCGGAAAGGUCAUUGGAAACAAAUGGGAUUCAUAUCUCGACUUUCUCCAAGCUGAUUACACUGAAGGAGAUGCACUGGAUGCUUUGGGCCUGGUUCGUUAUUGUUGUAGGCGCAUGCUUAUGACCCAUGUUGACCUUAUUGAGAAGCUACUCAAUUACAAUACUAUGGAAAAGCAUGAUGCCAAUUAA